CUCGCUGCUGCAGAGAUAUUCACCGCCUUCCUACAAACUACCGUCCAGCUCCAGCAGGAGAUUGACCGACAGAGAAAACUGCUGCAAAUCCACUGGAAACAUCCAGUCCAGCUCCUCACAGCAGAGAGGCCACAGCAGCACAUGGGGAAGCAGAAGAGCAGCUCCGGCGUGGAGCAGGAGGAACAUGAAGCUCCACACAUUAAAGAGCAGCCUGUUCCUGAUGGAGGAGACCAUUCCCACCACUCUGUGAGAGACUGGAGCAGCCAGAGACUGACUGCUGCUGCUGAGGACAUAUUCACCCUGUUUCAACAAGCUGUGCUUCAGUACGAGGAGGAGAUGGCUGCUCAGCGCAGAAUGCUGCAGAUCAACUGGAAUCCUCACAUCCAGCUCCACAGAGCAGAGCUCCAAGUGGACCAUGACUGCAGGGAGGAGCAGCUCUUUAAACAGGAAACACACUG